UACGUAGGGGGCGAGCGUUGUCCGGAAUCAUUGGGCGUAAAGCGCGUGUAGGCGGCCACCGCAAGUCGACUGUGAAAUCUCCGGGCUUAACCCGGAAAGGUCAGCCGAUACUGCGGGGCUAGAGUGCAGAAGGGGCAACUGGAAUUCUCGGUGUAGCGGUGAAAUGCGUAGAUAUCGAGAGGAACACCUGCGGCGAAGGCGGGUUGCUGGGCUGACACUGACGCUGAGGCGCGAAAGCUAGGGGAGCGAACGGG
rnacentral:rRNA from 1 species